AUGUCCCUAACCAUCACAAUGUCCUGCCAGGUCAGAGCUGUCACGGCCAUGCAUGGAGCACGGAUUCCCCCGUCAACCCAUGAUGCUCUUGCCAAGUUUUCCAGGGCCUGGUCCUCAGAGCUUGCCUUACCUGGCCAGCAGCAGUAUAGGAGCCAAAGCUUGCUCCGCCCUGUGUACCAUCCUCACUUGGCUGCACACCCCUCCUUCCUCCCUCACACCACAGCUGUUCCUCCUGUGCUGCUGUCCAUUCAUUCUGCUACUACUGGUGCAUGAUUGACAGCGAACCCAGGUGGAUUGUCUUCAACCCAUGCGCUAGGAAUUUCUCUGACUAACUGAAAUAAUAAUUUCUCUUCAUCCUGCAUACGAGGCUACACUGGUGCCUGUAGUUUCUUUCUAUAAAGUCUGCACUCCUCAGCCUGUGGGAUGGUAAGGGUUAACACCAUGGCCUUCAGGUGAGUUAGAUUUAAAGUCCUGUCUCCCUGCAGGCCAAAAGUCAUCUGUGCUUGCAGUUUUUGAAGCAGGUCUCUCUCUAACAAGGGAAUUGGACAAUUUGGGAGGUAUAGGAAUUCAGGCUGAACUUUUCAUCCUCCUAUAACACACCUCCUUGACUGGAAGAAUGGCCUCUUCUCUGAGACUCCAGUAGUCCCUACAAUAGUUGUACAGUUCUUGGAUAGAGGCCCUAUGGGUCAAGUUACUAGUGAGCAUUCAGCCCCAGUAUCUACCAUAAAGUCCAUCAAUUGGCCUCCAACUUCUUUUUUUUUUUUUUUUUUUUUUUUUUUUUUUGAGACGGAGUCUCGCUCUGUCACCCAGGCUGGAGUGCAGUGGCCGGAUCUCAGCUCACUGCAAGCUCCGCCUCCCGGGUUUACGCCAUUCUCCUGCCUCAGCCUCCCGAGUAGCUGGGACUACAGGCGCCCGCCACCUCGCCCGGCUAAGUUUUUGUAUUUUUAGUAGAGACAGGGUUUCACUGUGUUAGCCAGGAUGGUCUCGAUCUCCUGACCUCGUGAUCCGCCCGUCUCGGCCUCCCAAAGUGCUGGGAUUACAGGCUUGAGCCACCGCGCCCGGCCUGGCCUCCAACUUCUAAAGGAAAGCCUGUGUGACCACAGGCUCCUGGAGGCCCAGUGAGAAGGAGCCCAGUCUGUCCUCAUCUUCAUGUCCUUCAGCCCUUGCCAGCCUGAUUAGAUCAGUAUCUGGUUCUCCUAGGGUACAGCAGCCCCUGGUCAGUGACCUCUUUGUUUUGUGGCGUUGGCCAUUUCCUUCAUUGCCUUCUGGACAUUCAUCUUUCCAGUGUCUCUUCUUUUUACAUCGUGCACAUUGAUCCUUCUCUAGUCUUGGUCAGCUCUCGAAUCCCUGUCUAACCUGACCUCUUCCAUGUCCACGUCUAUGUCCUCUCACAUUGCUAGUUUCUCUUCCUAUGAGGGCUACCGCUAACAGAUCUGCCUUCUUUUUAAGCCUCCAUUCUGCUUCCUUCUUUGCCUCCUAGUCACCGUUAACAUACACCUUGGUGGCUACUUCUAUAAGCUGAGUGGCGUUCAUGCCUGCGAAACCUUCAAGUUUCUGAAGCUUUCGCUUAAUAUCACCCUAGGCCUGUCCUACAAAUGUUGUAUUUAUCGUACACUGAUUUUCAGCAGCCUUAGGGUCAAAUGGGUGAAAAGCUGGUAUGCCUCACAGAGUCUUUCAUAAAACUGGCUAGGGCUCUCAUCACUUCCCUGAAGCCCCUCUGAGAUCUUUCUUAUAUUGAUUGCCUUUUUUCUACCAUCCCUUAGCCCUUGCAGAAGUGCCUCUUGGUGCGUCUGCAAACGCUGAAGCUGGGUAGCAUAUUCUGGGUCCUAGUUGGGAUCUUGGUCUGGGAACUGGCCCUGAGCUUAUGCCUGAGCAUUCACUGUGUCUGCUGGUGCAUGGGCUUCUAGCCAGUGGAGAGCGGCCUGUGUUACUCUCUGAUGCUCCUCAGUGUUAAACAGUGUGAGAAGAAUCUGCCUGCAGUCUGGCCAGGUUGGAUUGUGUGUCACAAAGAUGAACUGCAUCAGAUCUAUAAGAGCCUGGGGCUUCUCCACAUAGGAGGGAGUAUGGUGUUUCCAGUUUAAGAGAUCGGUGGUUGUAAAGGGCUGAUAGAUGAAAGUCCAUUGCCUGCCCUGGACUUGGCCUUGGUCAUCAUAAUAAAUGAGUCCUUGCAUCUCCCGGAGAGACAUUUGCAUAGCUCAAGCACAGCCAGAUCUGAGAUGGCCUGCUUGACCAUCUUAACUUCCUUCCCUGGCCUCUUGAGGCUCCGAUCCUUCCCUUCAGGGUGAGACUUGGGGCAUGCUAGCCCCUGAAUGUGGUUCCUGGAGGCUGUUGGCAUCGGUAAAGGGGGGUAAGCUGGGACAUAUGGAGGAGGAAUCUCUGCUCCCUCUGGUGGCUCCUGUAAGACUGGCCUCUCUUGCUCCCUCUGGGACUUUCCCUUUAACUCUGUGUCUGCCGGAGAAGCUGCUCUUACUUUUAUUUUUGGCUCAGCUUGGGCCACAAGUGUUUUUGCAAUAAGCUGAUUAAACAGGGCUGGAUCCAUGCCAGUCUUGUCCGUGCUAUGUUUAACCAAGAGUCAAUAGAAGGAAAUUGAUCUGGAUGCCCAGGCUGUCCUCCGACCCCUGUCACCACCUUAAAUACACGGUCAAUUAUUUCCCUGUCUAUAAUUCCUUCGGUUGGCCAUCCAACACCAAAGAAGCCCAUUCUAAUUCACAGAGAGUUCGCAACCUCUGGCUGGUUAGCUUAAAUCUAUAAUCCCCUGCAUAACCUUUCUUAAAGUUUGAUAACGUGCACUCUAACAGAGUAGGUUUUGGUGGCUUUCCUCCUGUUUUCCUCCUUUUAUGGUGCAGUGCACUCACUCUUCCUUUUGUUUCGGACUGACCAGACCAUCUCCUAUUAUGGGAGUUUUCAGACGCUGCUUGGCUUUGGAGAAGUCUUUAUUCCUACCGUAGUUCUGAGCUGUGCGGCAGCUCCUAUUAGCUGUAUGCGGUUUGCCACUAGUCCGGGUCGGCCCCACACUUCACUCAGAUCACACAGUCCAUGCUAAGAGAUCUGUGACUCCCCACAUCACUCCCCGCAUUGGUUCCUCCUGGAACUGUCUCUUUCACAUACCUCCCCACUCCCAGUUCCUGUGUCCCUAAUUGGGGUGGCAAGCCACUCUUGCCACCUCCAGUUUUCUUUUCCUAACUGACUUAGCAGCCUCUCUUGCAUCCUUUGUUGGUUGGGGUAUGAGUUUCAUCCAAACUGGUGAGCCACUCUUGCCGCCCCCAAACUCUCUGGGUCAGACUACUAGUUACACCAUGGGAGGUGAUGAGGCUCCCCUUCCAUCCUUAUGGGAUGGGUCCUGCCUUGGGCCCCAAAACCUCACCAUGGUCCAGUAGUGUGCUGUUCCUGGUAAUCCUCCUGUAGCCCCUCUCAGGUUCCACUGCGCUGCUGGGUAGGGGCACCUGGUCACAGGAGAGCUGAUUUCCCCUUCAGGCUGAAGUUCUCCUGGCGGCACCUGGGGUCACAGGUUUCCCUUGACCCGGGGCUUCAGCCCCACUGGCAAAGGAGACAGUAAACCUGCCAUCUCCACUCCUAGCUGGUUCACCAAAAUGUUGUGGUAAACUGAGGACCAGAGAGACCCAUAUGGGAAAACAGGAGGAUGUUUAUUUUAAGGUACUCACUGACCCAGUGGAUUCACAUCUAAAAAGCUGAGCAUUGAACAGAGUUUAGUUUGUAUAGGCUAGCAUACAAGAGCAAAACAAAGACAGUAAAUUUUACAAUGACAAGUCACAUCAUCUAUAGCAUAACUGCUAACUUGGCAUAACUUAUGGCCUUGCAUAGCUAGUGGCCUUGCAGCUGCGAAACAAACAAACAAACAAAAAACAGGAACUUUGCAAAUCUUACUAAAUGUAAGCAUUGGCAAACAUAGUCAUAACUAACAGUUCAGUACAGGAGAGACAGUAAAGGAAUUUGUUGUUCUUGUGUUAACCUUGUUCGGGGGUGUGUGGCGCUCAUUUCUGCAGGCCAGGUCACCAUGACCUGUCUAUAGCCUUGCCUGCAGUAGAGGAAAACUUGUGGUUUUCGCUUAACCCUUACUUUCCUUGGAGUGAAUAAAUGCAGUAUUUAUUUUUCUUUAAAUUUCUGCCUCAAUGAGAGGGAGGUAGGAAAAUCAGGAUUAGAGAAGAAGAUGUGAUGGUGAAAGCAGCAGAGAGCAAGGAAGAUGUUGGAAAAUGCUAUGCUGCUGGCUUUGAAGAUGGAGGAGAAGGCUACACGAUCCAGCAUGCAGGUGGCCUCUAGAAGCUGGAAAAGCCUAGGCAAUGGUUCUACCCCAGGGCCUCCAGAAAGGACGCAGAUUGCCAACACCUUGAGGUUAGCCCCAUAAGACCCUUUCUGGACUUCUGCCCUCCAGAACUGUCAGCACGUUGUGUUGUCUUAGCCACUAAGUUUGUGAUAAUUUAUUCCAGUACCAGUAGAAAAUGAACAACUUUCCUCAAAAAAAAAAAACAAACAAACAAACAAUAAAAAAACCCUCAUGAUUUUUGCCAGUUAUUUAAUACAGAUAUGAGUGGUAGAACAUUUGAAAGAUGGCCAGGUCUAGUGGCUCAUGCCUGUAAUUGCAGCACUUUGGGAGGCCGAGCUGGGCAGAUCGCCUAAGGUCAGGAGUUUGAGACCAGCCUGGUCAACAAGGUGAAACCCCAUCUCUACUAAAAAUGCACAAAUUAGCCAGGUGUGGUGGUGCCAUCUGUAAUCCUAGGUACUUGGGAGGCUAAGGCUGGAGAAUCACUUGAACCAG
rnacentral:lncRNA from 1 species